rnacentral:rRNA from 1 species
UCGAGUCUUUGAACGCAAGUUGCGCCCGAGGCCAACCGGUUGAGGGCACGUCUGCCUGGGCGUCAAGCGUUACGUCGCUCCGUGCCAACUCCAUAUCGCCGAAGGGCGUGUCGGAUGAUGCUCGGAUGUAGAGAGUGGCUCAUCGUGCCCAUCGGCGCG